rnacentral:rRNA from 1 species
GUAUUUCGGUACGUAAAGUUCUUUUAUUAGGGAAGAAUAAAUGAUGGAAAAAUCAUUCUGACGGUACCUAAUGAAUAAGCCCCGGCUAACUAUGUGCCAGCAGCCGCGGUAAUACAUAGGGGGCAAGCGUUAUCCGGAAUUAUUGGGCGUAAAGGGUGCGUAGGCGGUUAAAUAAGUUUAUGGUCUAAGUGCAAUGCUCAACAUUGUGAUGCUAUAAAAACUGUUUAGCUAGAGUAAGAUAGAGGCAAGUGGAAUUCCAUGUGUAGUGGUAAAAUGCGUAAAUAUAUGGAGGAACACCAGUAGCGAAGGCGGCUUGCUGGGUCUUUACUGACGCUGAGGCACGAAAGCGUGGGGAGCAAACAGGAUUAGAUACCCUGGUAGUCCACGCCGUAAACGAUGAGUACUAAACGUUGGGUAAAACCAGUGUUGAAGUUAACACAUUAAGUACUCCGCCUGAGUAGUACGUACGCAAGUAUGAAACUUAAAGGAAUUGACGGGACUCCGCACAAGCGGUGGAUCAUGUUGUUUAAUUCGAAGGUACCCGAAAAACCUCACCAGGUCUUGACAUGCUUCUGCAAAGCUGUAGAAACACAGUGGAGGUUAUCAGUUGCACAGGUGGUGCAUGGUUGUCGUCAGCUCGUGUCGUGAGAUGUUGGGUUAAGUCCCGCAACGAGCGCAACCCUUAUUGUUAGUUACCAGCACGUAAUGGUGGGGACUUUAGCAAGACUGCCAGUGAUAAAUUGGAGGAAGGUGGGGACGACGUCAAAUCAUCAUGCCCCUUAUGACCUGGGCUACAAACGU